rnacentral:rRNA from 1 species
UACGUAGGGGGCAAGCGUUAUCCGGAUUUACUGGGUGUAAAGGGAGCGUAGACGGCAGUGCAAGUCUGGAGUGAAAGGCGGGGGCUCAACCCCCGGACUGCUCUGGAAACUGUACGGCUGGAGUGCAGGAGAGGUAAGUGGAAUUCCUAGUGUAGCGGUGAAAUGCGUAGAUAUUAGGAGGAACACCAGUGGCGAAAGCGGCUCUCUGGUCUGUAACUGACGCUGAGGUUCGAAAGCGUGGGUAGCAAACAGG